rnacentral:rRNA from 1 species
UUAAGCAUAUCAAUAAGCGGAGGAAAAGAAACCCAACAGGGAUUGCCUCAGUAACGGCGAGUGAAGCGGCAAGAGCUCAAAUUUGAAAGCUGGCCCCUUCGGGGUCCGCGUUGUAAUUUGCAGAGGAUGCUUCGGGUGCAGCCCCCGUCUAAGUGCCCUGGAACGGGCCGUCAUAGAGGGUGAGAAUCCCGUCUGGGACGGGGUGUCUGCGUCCGUGUGAAGCUCCUUCGACGAGUCGAGUUGUUUGGGAAUGCAGCUCUAAAUGGGUGGUAAAUUUCAUCUAAAGCUAAAUACUGGCCGGAGACCGAUAGCGCACAAGUAGAGUGAUCGAAAGAUGAAAAGCACUUUGAAAAGAGAGUUAAACAGCACGUGAAAUUGUUGAAAGGGAAGCGUUUGCGACCAGACUCGCCCGCGGGGUUCAGCCGGCAUUCGUGCCGGUGUACUUCCCCGUGGGCGGGCCAGCGUCGGUUUGGGCGGCCGGUCAAAGGCCCUCGGAAUGUAUCACCUCUCGGGGUGUCUUAUAGCCGAGGGUGCAAUGCGGCCUGCCUGGACCGAGGAACGCGCUUCGGCUCGGACGCUGGCGUAAUGGUCGUAAAUGACCCGUCUUGAAA